rnacentral:lncRNA from 10 species
UGUUUCUUUUUGUUUAAAGGAAUUUAUUUAUUUACUUAUUUUUACUUUUUUUUAAUCAUACUUUAAGUUCUAGGAUACAUGUGCACAACGUGCAGGUUUGUUACGUAUGUAUAUAUGUGCCAUGUUGGUGUGCUGGACCCAUUAACUCGUCGUUUACAUUCGGUAUAUCUCCUAAUGCUAUCCCUCCCCUCUCCCCCCAAAAAUGUUUCUUUUGAAUGCAGUUGACUCAGUUACCUAAGAUGUGAGUGAAGUGGAAAGGGUAAGUGGUGGGAAUAAUGCAAAAUGAUAGUUUAAAAAUCCUUCAUGCCCUGUUUACUUUCCUAAUAUGGAGAUAAUUGAAAUCUGGACUGGGAAUAAUUUUUUUUUAAAAAAACUGGAUUUUCCUUGGGCAUUGCCAUUUACUAAUCUCAUGAUCCUGGGCGAGUCAUGUAAUCUCUUUAAAACUUAUUAACUCAUAAAAAUAGAAGUAACAAUGUCCAAACUUCCUAUUUUAGAGUUUUCACGAGGCGCAAUAGAUGUAACUGAAAGCUUCGAGAAGUUUAAAGGACUUGCAAGGAAAUCUACUGAAAUAAGCCCCAUUCCACCUGGGCAGAAGCACUCAGACGCCAAACCCCACCUUCUGUCCUGAAAUUCACCUUCCACUAGGAGAGUUUGCUUUUCUAAUGCUUCAAAUGCACAACGGGAGAUGUUCUGACUUCAGGGUUUCUACCCUUCACUGCUGUAAUCUGCUGCCUGUAUGACAUGCGAUCUGGUUUACACCGUACAGCUUAUCAUCUUCAGCUUGUGGCCCCUUCCUUGUUUCCACCUUGCUAUUCAGGAGGGCCUGUAAGGGUAUCUGGAUUCCUUGAGCUGUAGAUGCAGGACAGUGAGAGGGAGGGAGGUAGUUCUCUGGUCUAAUUUCAGUUUCCUAACUGAGGGUACAUGCCUUCCCUGAAUGAUCAUCAUCAAAAAUAUCCAGCCCUUCAUGGAAGACACCACCCCUCCUCAUAGAUGAGUCCCUGAGCUUAUGAUCUCAAAAGGAAAUCCUUAUCAGAAUACAACAGAAUAAGGACAUAGUUUCAUUACAGUUAUAAUAAUAAAAGUAGUUCUUCUUUAUUAAGCUGCAUGAGGUACUUUGUAUUGUAUUAGUAUUCACGUUUCACAGAUAAAAAUAC